AACGCUGGCGGCAGGCCUAACACAUGCAAGUCGAGCGGUAGAGAGAAGCUUGCUUCUCUUGAGAGCGGCGGACGGGUGAGUAAUGCCUAGGAAUCUGCCUGGUAGUGGGGGAUAACGUUCGGAAACGGACGCUAAUACCGCAUACGUCCUACGGGAGAAAGCAGGGGACCUUCGGGCCUUGCGCUAUCAGAUGAGCCUAGGUCGGAUUAGCUAGUUGGUGAGGUAAUGGCUCACCAAGGCGACGAUCCGUAACUGGUCUGAGAGGAUGGUCAGUCACACUGGAACUGAGACACGGUCCAGACUCCUACGGGAGGCAGCAGUGGGGAAUAUUGGACAAUGGGCGAAAGCCUGAUCCAGCCAUGCCGCGUGUGUGAAGAAGGUCUUCGGAUUGUAAAGCACUUUAAGUUGGGAGGAAGGGCAGUUACCUAAUACGUAAUUGUUUUGACGUUACCGACAGAAUAAGCACCGGCUAACUCUGUGCCAGCAGCCGCGGUAAUACAGAGGGUGCAAGCGUUAAUCGGAAUUACUGGGCGUAAAGCGCGCGUAGGUGGUUAGUUAAGUUGGAUGUGAAAUCCCCGGGCUCAACCUGGGAACUGCAUUCAAAACUGACUGACUAGAGUAUGG
rnacentral:rRNA from 1 species